rnacentral:rRNA from 1 species
GUUAUCUCUUUCGGAAUGGACUGGGAGAAGUGCCUUCCAUUUGCCGAAUUCGCUUACAACAACAGCUAUCAAUCUAGCUUGGGUAAAGCCCCUUUUGAAGUUCUCUAUGGACGACGAUGUCGAACACCCCUUAACUGGUCAGAGACCGGGGAAAGACAAUUCUUUGGCCCGGAUAUGAUUCAGGAAGCAGAAGAACAAGUUCGUAUCGUUCGUGAAAAAUUGAAAACAGCCCAAUCUCGUCAAAAGAGUCAAUAUGACCGAAAACAUAAGGCUAUGACUUUCGAGGUUGACGAGAAGGCUUAUCUUCGGGUCACCCCUCUGAAGGGAACCCAU